CCACUGCUCCGACUACACAGUUCACACCAACCAUCCAGCCACCUAUCACUUUCCACUGUCUCUAGGGUCGUUACUUUCUCUCUGAAUUCGUCGAGACCACGGAUAGGGAUCCUUUAAGUAUUUCAACGUCCCUAUGUCUGCUUACUUGCGCUCACCAUAUCCCUGCCCCUCCUCAGCCUGCAGGCCACGAAUAACCAGCAUCUCUUAACCAGUUUUUUUUUUUUUUCUAUUUCCAGAUGCCUUUUUAGUAACCCCCUAUAUGCAUCUCGAAACCUCAUACAUGGCCUCAACUAUCCCUGAUGAGGUUUUUCAUGUUCGUGGCAAGACUCUCACCCCGGAAAGUCCACAGCCACUUCAUGUAUCUGAACCUACUCACAUCCCGUUGCUGCAGAGUCAGAUGGAUCCGUCAUUUAGCGAUUCACCCAUGUAUAAACAGAUAUUUAUGGAGAAAACGCCACCUUUGGACACUGAGUCGGUUGUAGGUGAACAGGUUCAGGUCACAACGCAUACAUACGCUAUGCUGCGUCAUAAAUUUGAAAACCUGGGGUCAAAAGGCGUUGGCGAGCAAGGAGCAGUUAGCUUUUCUCGAUCUUUACACACGGGUUAUCAACCAAAGACUGAUACAGAAAAUGAAUCGACUUUUUCAUCUGCUUACAGCACAAGUCAAUCUCCAUGUCGUGUUUCUCAAACCUCCACUGCUGACGUGAACGAACCAACCGUGCCUUCCCAUACCACAUCCAUCACAUCUGAAACUCCGUCCCCAUUAGAUCGUCCUAUACUUUCCGAGAACUCCCCAUCCGAACCCCAUUAUUCACCUACGCUUCCGGGCAAUGAUCAAAUGACGGGAUCAAAGGAUGCAGACGUGAAAUCCACUAGGAAAUUUAUUUCUCCCGCUUCUCUUGGUGAUCAUAAUAAAAACAUUAAAACUAAAGCAGAUCUUGAGGGAGAUGCCAGCGACCAGAAAUCCCUGAAUACCUUAUCAAAUGCUAAAAGUGCCAAAAGUACUACCGAUUCUCCCACAAAUACCGCCGUUACUACCGCAUCUUCUAAUAAUUAUGUGACCAAAGCUUCAACCCUAGACACAUCCCCUCCACCUUCUGCUGGUCUCCCUCCCCGCCCACCACCCCAAGAAAGACCUUCUAUCCGACCGGGUCCUGACAACAUUCAAUAUUUCCACCCGUUGCCCAACCAACCUGAAAGUGGAUCUUCCCAAUACGGCCCAAGUAAUUUUCCUAAGCCUAGUGGGCUGCCAUCCCCUGCAUCUGGAACUUCGUCUACCUCAAAUGGAUUUCCCCCUCAUAUUGCGGGUUUUCAGAAAUUUUCCCAAUCACCUGGCAACCAAACGAAAAGCAGUGUUCCAAAGGCUCCCCGAAGUGAUAGGCUGAACAACGAAGAACCCAAGAGUUCCCGCUGGGAAGGAGAUAGGGAGGAGCCUUGGGCGCCUGAAAUUCAGAAAAAAUAUGAUAAAUUUCUCCAUAACGAACGUGUUUAUGUUACUGAAGGGCUUUGGGAUCGGUUUUCGCCUGGAUCGAGGUUGUUUGUUGGGAAUCUCCCCACGGAGAGAGUCACCAAACGGGACCUCUUCCACCUGUUUCAUAAAUACGGUGAUCUCGCCCAAAUAUCCAUUAAGCAGGCAUAUGGAUUUGUCCAGUUCCUAGAACCUACAUCUUGCCAUAAUGCGUUAGAAGCAGAACAAGGAGGAUUUAUACGAGGUCGCAAAAUUCAUCUUGAAAUCUCAAAACCUCAAAAAUCAACGAGAAAUGCUCCGGCACCGGAUUCUUCGAGGCAACCAGUUAAGAGAAGGUCUAGGUCACCUGAAGCUGCCCGAGGUGUAUCAAAUUACCGUGGCAUCCGUGACCGAUUUGACAGAACUGCGGAGCCUGGCAGGCCACCUAUCAGAGAAUUCAGGGACCGUGAUGAGCCGUAUCGCCGUCGUGAUGAUUACCACUCAGCUCGCACGCCAUCUCCACGUGGACACCGCCGAGGUGACCCUCGCUCCCAUGAUCGAAUUCCAGAGAAUUAUGAACGACGUCGCAAUAGGCGUCGUUCAAGGUCUCCUUACUCACGUUCAGGGAGAUAUAGAAGUCCGAGUCCGAGAGAAAAGGGUUCUGCAAAUGACUCAGAUCUUCAUAUUCCAAAGCGAUCCCCACGAGAAGUACCAGAUGUCGAGAUAAUUGUCUUAGAAAACGUUGAUAGGGAUUUCAUACAUCAUAUCGAAAAAACUUUUCGAGACCGGGGGUUGCGAACGAAUGUUCUCAUUUUAAGCCCCCGGAUGUCCCUUACAGCUGUUAUUCGACGUCAGAUAAUAGAGGGAGUGCAGGCAAUUGUCAAGCUAUCCCGCUCAAAUCAGUAUUCUGGCAAAAUCCCAUUACAGGUGUUUGAUCGCACUGGUGGCAUCGACAAUGUUAAGUUCAAUGAAUAUUCAGAGCUUGAAUUGAAUGUUGCUGCCGAUGUCGUGCUUCAUGCGACGACCAUCCACCCUGGGAGUACCUCGAAAUAUACCACUACGCAAAUGCCUGAAAUUUCUCAACUGCAGGCGUCCUCUAAAGUCCCACCUCCUUUAAAAUCUAAUAAUAAUAUUACGAAUCUCAUUUCUAGUCUAGAUAGCACCGCACUUCAAUCUCUCCUUCGAGCACUACAACAAAACCCUUCACCCCAGAAUUCUGCCCAACUGACUAGCUGCACGCUCCAGGCCGCUCAGCAGCACUACACUCCCCAAGGCAACCCAACAGAUCUUGCGAGUAUCCUUAGUAGCUUCUCUCGUCAGCAAAAUUCUUUGGUUCCUCCAACCUCUGCCACCCAAACAGCUCAGCCUCCUGCUUAUGGGCUUCCACCGCAGCUCCCCGGCGGGAAAAGUGAUCCGAACUUGGCAUCCCUUCUGGCUCAAACUUUGGGAGGACAACGAUUAAGUCAACCGCUUAUCGCGCCUCCUCAGAUAGCGCCACAGAUGUCUCCCCAUAUUCAGAGUAUCAUGGACCAAUUGAAGAAGUGGAAGCAAUGAAAUUUUUGUUUUCUUCACAUUCAAUCUACGAAAUUUGUCUACAUAUGGUCCUUGUACAUGAAUUGGCAUACUUGUCUCUCUAUAUCAGCUUUUUAGCAAACCAUGGCGCAUUCGACCUGUCAGUUGUUCGGCAAAGUUAAUACGCAGAACGGGAAAAUAUCGAAGUGUGAUAGCUGUUGAAUCACCUUAUCAGGAAUGGGCCAAGGAUAUCAACCAGAGAUGCUCGUCAUCAAAUAAUGAAAAUAUCUAAUUAAUGCAUCUUUCGAUGACCGUAAACCUGGUAGCAGAUUCCAUACGCCUUCCGACAUAGCCUGCACGUUAUCCUUCUUCCCUGUAGAUCAGAACGUAGUCGCCUAGUAUGUAUAUCCGAAUACGUGGCACGGGGGAAAUAAAAGCAGACGCAUAAAUUGAAUAAAACCACAUGAGUGGUUUGCAUAUAAAAUGUCGUUAAAAAACAGUGUGAAAAAGCAUAAUGUACAAUGAGUCGGGCCAUUCCCCCCAACCACAACCCUUAUUCCGGGGUGCCAACAAAGUCAUUGAGAUGGAUCAAUCCACAAUAACAAUAGCACAGGUGCAUGCCGGUACUAGUCACCCAAAAUUCGUAUUA
rnacentral:sRNA from 2 species